CAUCCUUAUGGGAUAAUUUUCAUAUUGACUGUCCUUUUAUGGGAGGUUCUUCUUUAAUGUGAGAUGCUUAUAUGUGACAGGUUUUAUUUUUUUGUAUUUAUUUUUUGUUUUGUUUUUUGUACCUUUGGUGAUGCCUAAAUUUCAUGUAAUUCUGUGGGGGUGAAUGUAACGGAGUUAAAAAGAACAUUGAUUAUGAUAUUAAUGGAUGUUGAAUUCCAUGAAAUUAGAGGGUAAAUUCAAAUCUAAAGGUAUUUUGGUGCCCCCUAGUGGUUAAUGCAUCGCAGACAUUCUUUAUUUUGUCCUUGCAUGCUUACCGUAGUUCAGCAGAAAAUGGUUCACACUGCUGCGGGUAAGCGUGUUUCUCUUCUCUCCUGUUUAUGGUGUUUUAAAAAAGUGAUAAGUGUGUUUAAUAAGAGUUUUUCUGAUGUAAACGUUUGUAGUGAUUAUAUCAACAAAUGUGCAGUGAGUUGGAUGGGUUUAUAUGUCCGAUGGAUACUUUGUUGAGUACUUAUCGUUGUGCCUCGUUACUCAUGCUGUGAAAUUAACGUGCUACUGCUGAUGCAACAUCAGAUAGCUUAAUGGAAUACACACAGUUAUCUUCAUUUUAUGUUUUUCUUAUUUCAGUGGUUUAUGUCAGCAGUGUUAUCACCCUGUCUAAUAAUACAUUUUGAUGUAUUUCUCAGACACAAAUAUCAUUGCUGCGGAGAAUAAAAGAGAGAAAAGACAACCAGAGUCUUGUGUGCAUCGUCCAUUCAAAAUUUGUGACGGUUGUGUGGGAUGUAUUAAGGCCACAUUGGGGACAACAAUCGUUACACAUUUAACCCAUCCAAAGUGCACACACACAGCAGUGAACACACACCCAGGGUACCCAGGGAGCAGUUGAGGGUUCAGUGCCUUGCUCAAGGGCACCUCAGUCAUGGUAUUAAAGGUGGAGAGAGCGCUGUACAUUCACUCCCCCCACCUACAAUCCCUGUUGGCGCAAAACUCGAACUCGUAAUCUUUCGAUUAUGAGUCUGAAUCUCUAACCAUUAGGCCAUGACUUUCCUUAAAACAUGAUAGCUACAAACAUGUCAUGAAAGUGAAGUACUGACAAUGUAGAUCAACUUGUGCAACUAUAGUAAUAAUAUACAGUAUGUUACUUUAGAAUGAUACAUGUAGAACGAUACAUGUAUUCGUACCGAACCGUCACGGUACGGACACCUAGGUUCGGUGCAUGAGGCCUUACAAUGAAUACAGGCAAUUCACCCCCAAUCCAGAAGGGGGAGCCCCACAGCAAUGCAACGCUGUUUGAUAACCGGCCACCAGCAGAAAAACAGCGAAUGCCAUGAGUUGCGCACUUGAAAACAAAGCCCACUAGACAGUGACCAUGUGCUGACUCUGAAUGCAUCUCUCACAGACUGACAAAGGAGUAUACUUUAAAGGCUUGUUUACUCAACUGUUUGCGAAAUGGAGCUUUGUGCUCGUGUAUCCUACCGCUCUCAUUCGGCACAGAUCCAAAUAUUCCAUAAUAUUUCCAUAUUUGUGAUGUAAUGUAUCUAAAUGCUAAACUAUUAUUUACUAUGUAAAAUUAUAGGCUUUGUACUUCAGUUCUAAUGGUGACACAGAGGUGGGCGCGCUGAUGUUUGGUUCACUGAAUUUUAUUUUGAUAAAGUACCAACUGCAUUGUCAAGUUAGCAAUGCUGGAACUGAUGUGUUUUGUAUGUGUGUGUGUGUGUGUGUGUGUGUAUGUGUGUGACGCGGUGCAACUGUUUCCUAAUACCAGCAGAUUCAACUUUAAACACUUAUUGUCUUAUUAAUAAUGCAUCACUGUAUAAAGGUCUUCUUUUAUUUCUGAACACUCAC
ensembl:lncRNA